rnacentral:tRNA from 1 species
CGGGGCGUAGCGCAGCUUGGUAGCGCACCUGCUUUGGGAGCAGGGGGUCGCUGGUUCGAAUCCAGUCGCCCCGA